AUUGAACGCUGGCGGCAUGCCUUACACAUGCAAGUCGAACGGCAGCACGGGUGCUUGCACCUGGUGGCGAGUGGCGAACGGGUGAGUAAUACAUCGGCACGUACCUUAUCGUGGGGGAUAACGCAGCGAAAGCUGUGCUAAUACCGCAUACGCCCUGAGGGGGAAAGCGGGGGAUCGCAAGACCUCGCGCGCGUAGAGCGGCCGAUGCCUGAUUAGCUUGUUGGUGGGGUAAAAGCCCACCAAGGCGACGAUCAGUAGCUGGUCUGAGAGGACGAUCAGCCACACUGGGACUGAGACACGGCCCAGACUCCUACGGGAGGCAGCAGUGGGGAAUUUUGGACAAUGGGGCAACCCUGAUCCAGCAAUGCCGCGUGAGUGAAGAAGGCCUUCGGGUUGUAAAGCUCUUUUGUCAGGGAAGAAACACCGGCUCUAACACAGUCUGGGAAUGACGGUACCUGAAGAAUAAGCACCGGCUAACUACGUGCCAGCCGCCGCAGUAA
rnacentral:rRNA from 1 species